rnacentral:tRNA from 1 species
GCAGAGGUUGCCAAGCCUGGCCAACGGCGCCAGACCGAGGCUCUGGUCCAUAGAGGUUCGGGGGUUCAAUCCGCGGGAAAUCUCUUCUCGAGAGAACACAUCCCCCUCUCUGCA